rnacentral:lncRNA from 1 species
UUUAGGGUCUUAUCAUUUGGUAUCAGAGCCUACGAUAAGACUUUAGGGUCUUAUCAUUUGGUAUCAGAGCGACGAUCCUUGGCGUUCUCGCUGCAACGAAGCUAUCAAAAAUAAAAAAUAAAAGAAACGAAAGAAAGAAAGAAAGAGAGAAGAAGAAGCAGCAACCACACCACGCACCCCUGCUUCCCCUGCUUCCGGCCAGCCCACCCGUCGCCCGUCGCUGCUUUCCGGCCAGCAACCGGCUCUG